ACUACAUGAAGUUGGAAUCGCUAGUAAUCGCGGAUCAGCAUGUCGCGGUGAAUACGUUCCCGGGUCUUGUACACACCGCCCGUCACACCAUGGGAGCGGGUUUUACCAGAAGUAGGUAGCUUAACCGUAAGGAGGGCGCUUACCACGGUAGGAUUCGUGACUGGGGUGAAGUCGUAACAAGGUAGCCGUAUCGGAAGGUGCGGCUGGAUCACCUCCUUU
rnacentral:rRNA from 1 species